rnacentral:rRNA from 1 species
UGGCGGACGGGUGAGUAAUGUCUGGGAAACUGCCUGAUGGAGGGGGAUAACUACUGGAAACGGUAGCUAAUACCGCAUAACGUCGCAAGACCAAAGAGGGGGACCCUCGGGCCUCUUGCCAUCGGAUGUGCCCAGAUGGGAUUAGCUUGUUGGUGGGGUAACGGCUCACCAAGGCGACGAUCCCUAGCUGGUCUGAGAGGAUGACCAGCCACACUGGAACUGAGACACGGUCCAGACUCCUACGGGAGGCCAGCAUG